rnacentral:lncRNA from 1 species
GCGGGUUCAUAGAGCCAAUACAUUUUACGGGCUUCUUACGACCUUUCUGUGUGGUGUGUUGGGUAUUUGCUUAGUGUGGCACGUGUGCAAACGCAUAUGACAAACUCUUGCGUGCCCAAGUUAGGUUUCCUCUCAGUAAGGUGUCGUACUGGGCCAGGAAUAUAUUUGGGCUCAGCCUUGGAUUUUUUAGGCCUCAACAAUUCUAAAGAAGAUUAUGAAGAAUUAAGAGAUGGAUGUUAACUUAGGAUCAAACAUAAAUAUUAUAAUUAUAUAUUUAUUUAUUUAUUUAAAUAUAAACAUAUAUAUUUUCGGGUCGAGUUCGGAGAUAGGGACGCCAAUACCAUCCCCUACCCAUAUCCAUCGGGGAUUUUUCAAGUUCGAUGAUCCCCGUACCCAAUACCAGUUUAGCCCCGAAAUCUCUCCUCGUUAGGGUCGGGGACCAGCCCCCGAGGGGAUUUU